UGCAGAGUGUAAAACUGGUAUACUAGCCGUGCUCACGGUCAUGAGCGGCCUUGGGGAUUCUUGCAUCGACGAUGAUGAUUCUUGUGUGUUAAAUAUGCCCAUUAUUUAUUAUUUAAUGCUUUACAUUAUUUAUGUCACAUUGAUCAUGAGAUUGUGGGAUAUAUACAAUCUAGUUGCUAUACUUGUGGAGUUCGACAUGGACUCAUUCUUGCUAUUUCCCCCAAACCUCAGGAGAAGUUUAGACUUGUGAUCAACCAGUCAGUUGGAUCC
rnacentral:lncRNA from 1 species